rnacentral:tRNA from 1 species
GCAUUGGUGGUUCAGUGGUAGAAUUCUCAUCUUCCAUGUGAAAGACUCAGGUAGAUUCCCAGUUAAUGCA